GGUGAGGUGGCCGAGUGGCUGAAGGCGCACGCCUGGAAAGUGUGUAACGGGAAACCGUUCGAGGGUUCGAAUCCCUCCCUCACCGCCA
rnacentral:tRNA from 2 species